rnacentral:rRNA from 1 species
GACGAACGCUGGCGGCGUGCUUAACACAUGCAAGUCGAACGGAAAGGCCCUGCUUUUGUGGGGUGCUCGAGUGGCGAACGGGUGAGUAACACGUGAGUAACCUGCCCUUGACUUUGGGAUAACUUCAGGAAACUGGGGCUAAUACCGGAUAGGAGCUCCUGCUGCAUGGUGGGGGUUGGAAAGUUUCGGCGGUUGGGGAUGGACUCGCGGCUUAUCAGCUUGUUGGUGGGGUAGUGGCUUACCAAGGCUUUGACGGGUAGCCGGCCUGAGAGGGUGACCGGCCACAUUGGGACUGGGAAACGGCCCGGACUCCUACGGGAGGCAGCAGUGGGGAAUAUUGCACAAUGGGCGGAAGCCUGAUGCAGCAACGCCGCGUGCGGGAUGACGGCCUUCGGGUUGUAAACCGCUUUCGCCUGUGACGAAGCGUGAGUGACGGUAAUGGGUAAAGAAGCACCGGCUAACUACGUG